UGUUGAUCUCCCAUCUUUGGACAAGAUGUCUCUUCACAGCAUCUGACAGAAUAUGGCCCAAGGUGAGAGAGAAUGCAUGCCGUAGCAGGGUGACAGAAAAUUUGCAGAGGAUUAUGGGAGACAUGAUGCAAACACUGCUGGACGUAAAAUCACUCGAGAAGCAAAUGCUGCAGAGAACAAGUAGAAAGCGACAAAACUUCAUCCCAACAAGAACGUUCUAUAACUGCUCACCAGUAAAACUGGACAACAUUUACAGCGGCAAAAACAGGAUAUAAUGCACAGUUAAACUUCAUGAUGGCUUGGAUAUCAUUCUGUUCAAGGUAGCAAAUGACAUGUUCAGUACUUUCUAUUUCCAUGGAAUAUAUAACAC